GGGGCUGUAGCUCAGCUGGUUAGAGCACUGUGUUGAUAACGCAGGGGUCGCUGGUUCGAGUCCAGCCAGCCCUACCA
rnacentral:tRNA from 1 species